rnacentral:rRNA from 1 species
AUACGUAGGGAGCGCGCGUUGUCCGGAAUUACUGGGUGUAAAGGGAGCGUAGGCGGGAGUGCAAGUCAGAUGUGAAAGACAUGGGCUCAACCCCUGGGCUGCAUUUGAAACUGCAUUUCUUGAGUGAAGUAGAGGUACGCGGAAUUCCUGGUGUAGCGGUGAAAUGCGUAGAUAUCAGGAGGAACACCGGUGGCGAAGGCGGCUUACUGGGCUUUUACUGACGCUGAGGCUCGAAAGCGUGGGGAGCAGACAGGAUUAGAUACCCUGGUAGUCCACGCUGUAAACGAUGAUUACUAGGUGUGGGGGGACUGACCCCUUCCGUGCCGCAGUUAACACAAUAAGUAAUCCACCUGGGGAGUACGGCCGCAAGGUUGAAACUCAAAUGAAUUGACGGGG